UACAGGUAAACUACAGGUGUUCUACAGGUAAACUACAGGUGUUCUACAGGUAAACUACAGGUGUUCUACAGGUAAAGUACAGGUAAACUACAGGUGUUCUACAGGUGUUCUACAGGUAAAGUACAGGUAAAGUACAGGUGUUCUACAGGUAAAGUACAGGUGUUCUACAGGUAAACUACAGGUGUUCUACAGGUAAACUACAGGCGUUCUACAGGCAAACUACAGGUGUUCUACAGGUAAAGUACAGGUAAACUACAGGUGUUCUACAGGUAAACUACAGGUGUUCUACAGGUAAACUACAGGUGUUCUACAGGUAAAGUACAGGUAAACUACAGGUGUUCUACAGGUAAAGUACAGGUAAAGUACAGGUGUUCUACAGGUAAACUACAGAUAAACACAGGUGAAUUACGAGUUUACAUGUUAACAUGUUUUUUAGGUCCAGCAGGUGUUAAACGUCUCCAGCUGGUUUUGCCCUGUAGCUGAUGGUAUUUUUCAUGUACUUUUCUAAUUGGACUGAUUCCAACAGGACGUCCAGGUGUUGUUAAGAAAUUCAGAGGUCAGGAUAGGUGAAGAGGACAGGUGACCUUAUCAGGAGGUGUUCAUUUGGCUGUGAAACCACUUGUUUGUCUCUAACAUCUGUCUAUCCAUCUGUCUGUCCGUCCCUGUGAGUCUGAUUCCUGCAGUAUGAAUGUUUUCCAGACUGCCGCUGCUCCUUCACACUGAUUUAGUCUGACUGUAGAAAGAAGUGAAAAUCUGUCGCAUGUAAAACAUGAUUUUUC